rnacentral:rRNA from 1 species
CGCAAGGGGAGUGGCAGACGGGUGAGUAACACGUGGGAACCUUCCCUAUAGUACGGAAUAGCCCAGGGAAACUUGGAGUAAUACCGUAUACGCCCGAAAGGGGAAAGAAUUUCGCUAUAGGAUGGGCCCGCGUAGGAUUAGCUAGUUGGUGGGUAUGGCUCACCAAGGCGACGAUCCUUAGCUGGUUUGAGAGAACGACCAGCCACACUGGGACUGAGACACGGCCCAGACUCCUACGGGAGGCAGCAGUGGGGAAUAUUGGACAAUGGGCGCAAGCCUGAUCCAGCCAUGCCGCGUGAGUGAUGAAGGCCUUAGGG